CUAUAUCUUAAGUUUACCAUAUUUUUAUGAUAAAGAUAUAUAAAACUUAUCUGAACUAUAAAUUAUUUGAAUAUCAUAAGUUAAUAACGCACCUUUCACAAUUUGAUUAUACUAUCGAAUAUUUUAAUUUAUUUGAUUUGAGUUAGUCAAUAAUAGUUUGACUUCAAAAUUUAAACAAUUUUUUUUUUUAUAUUUAGCAUUAACUAUACUAACUAACUCUGUGAAGAUGCAUUCAGCUUUUCUAUGCCAGAAGUGCAUGCAGUCGACUGACUCAAAUCAAACAAAUUGAUAGAUUGUCUAGUAAAAUCAAAUUCUAAAUAGUCGAAUAGUCGAUCGGUUCAAAAUGGUCCCCAGUUCAGAUAAGUUUUCUAUGUUUUUG
rnacentral:lncRNA from 1 species